CGAUGCCAAAUUAAUCUUGAGCAUGAUUUUCAAGGUCAACAUUUUUUUACCGCAGUGUAUUCUACUCAUCGCGAAAAGUCAUGAUUCGCAAAU